CCUACGGGAGGCAGCAGUGAGGAAUAUUGGACAAUGGGCGCAAGCCUGAUCCAGCCAUGCCGCGUGCAGGAAGACGGUCCUAUGGAUUGUAAACUGCUUUUAUACAGGAAGAAACACCUCUACGUGUAGAGACUUGACGGUACUGUAUGAAUAAGCAUCGGCUAACUCCGUGCCAGCAGCCGCGGUAAUACGGAGGAUGCAAGCGUUAUCCGGAAUCAUUGGGUUUAAAGGGUCCGUAGGCGGUUUAAUAAGUCAGUGGUGAAAGCCCAUCGCUCAACGAUGGAACGGCCAUUGAUACUGUUAAACUUGAAUUAUUAGGAAGUAACUAGAAUAUGUAGUGUAGCGGUGAAAUGCUUAGAGAUUACAUGGAAUACCAAUUGCGAAGGCAGGUUACUACUAAUAUAUUGACGCUGAUGGACGAAAGCGUGGGGAGCGAACAGGAUUAGAUACCCUGGUAGUCCACGCCGUAAACGAUGGAUACUAGCUGUUCGGAGCAAUCUGAGUGGCUAAGCGAAAGUGAUAAGUAUCCCACCUGGGGAGUACGUUCGCAAGAAGAGAACGUACGAAAGAAAGUUAGACGGACGUGAGACGUACGACGACGGACGACGACGAGGGGAGGAGG
rnacentral:rRNA from 1 species